AUUCAUUUGUUUGGUCUAACAGCGACGUAUCACAAUACUUCCAAGCACAAUAUGAAGGUGGUAAUCGAAAUCUGCGACUAUUAGGUGACGCAGGGUACGGUCUCGCACCCUGGCUUAUAACUCCUUUUCAGAACCCUGCACCUAAUACUCCUUCAAGUCGCUUUAACAAAUGGCAUAGUUCUGGGCGAAACAUUAUAGAGAGAACUAUUGGUGUUUGGAAAAACUGGUGUAGAUGUCUUCUGUCUGCGCGCCAACUUCAUUAUUCUCCUGAAAAGGCUGUGAAAAUAAUCAAUGUAGCUGCGGCACUACACAAUUUACGCAUUCACUACAAUAUCCAUGAUGAGUAUCUUGAUCACGUAACUAAUGAGGAAGA